AGGCGCUGCGGUCCCAGCAGCCGAGGACACCAGCGGACGGAUGUCGGCUUUCUGUCACCGUCGCUAACAACCUGGCAAUGGUCAGCCGAUGACAGGGGUUUGACUCCCUCCUCAGUCCCGCGCAGGAUGUGGUUUCUCCCUGUGUGCACCCAGCCUGGCCUCGGGCAAGGGUGGAUUCGGGCUUUUGAGGAGGGAGUAGCCCUUUUCCCCUGGACCCCUCUCCCAUGGUGCCUGCUGGGAGCCACCGGAGAGGGGACGAGCCGCAUCUGCUCCGGGUGUCGGUGCUGGGAAGGGAGAAGAAAAAAAAAAGGGAGAGCAAUGCAGUGCAGGAGGGCUGGAGCCUGCCGCCUGCCAUGCUGGCUCCGCGCCCGGGGCAGCCGCGUGGCCCCUCGCAGCACGGCUCUGCCCUACGCGCCCUUCCUCACGCCCCAGCCCGCAGCGGCUCGGAGACACCCGGGGCAGCCGGGUCCUCUGGGCUUGCGGGAAUGUCCCUCCUCCCCUUGCCCACGAGAGUCCCGGCUCUGGACGGCUGGACCCCAGGGCCACCCGUGGGACGGGCUGCAGCUCGGUGGGGCUCGGCUCCAGCGGGAGCUUUGCGGGAAGAAAAGCUGCAGGAUUCAGCUCCAUGCGAGUAUGCGGGGCAAGCGCAAGCGCGCUGCCGGCUGCGCUGCGAGUGUCCAGAGGCAGCAGGGAGCCCCUGCUCCCGUGCCGGCACCCUGGGAUGGGACACAAGGCAGCUGCGGGCUUCAGCGCCAGUGCCGGGAGAGGCGCCGGGGAUGUCGGGGUGCCGAGGCAGGGGAGGGCAGGGUGCCGGGCAGCCCCUGGGGUCAGGUAGGGUGGUGCCGAGAGCCCUGGCACGGAGAGGGGCUGCUGCGCCCCCAGAGCCGCGCCGAUCUGCAGGGCUCCUGAAGGGGUUAAGAGAGACGAGGAAAAGCGGAGAAAGAAAACAGAGCAUUGGGAGAGACUGGCGCGGUCAGGGGCUGUUUGCACUGGCUCCGAUGUGUCCUCGGUGUGUUUAUUCCUUCUGCACAAGCGGUUCUGCCAGACCUGGAGCCAGGCUGCUGAACACGCACAUGCACACAUUGCUCUCUCAUGCGCGUGCACACGCACACACACAUGCGCACACACGCAGCUUUCUGUCUCUCACAUGCACAGCACCGUCCUAA
rnacentral:lncRNA from 1 species